GAUGAACGCUGGCAGCGUGCCUAAUACAUGCAAGUAGAACGCUGAAGGAAGGAGCUUGCUCUUUCCGAAUGAGUUGCGAACGGGUGAGUAACGCGUAGGUAACCUGCCUGGUAGCGGGGGAUAACUAUUGGAAACGAUAGCUAAUACCGCAUAACAGUAGAUAUUGCAUGACAUUUACUUGAAAGGUGCAAAUGCACCACUACCAGAUGGACCUGCGUUGUAUUAGCUAGUUGGUGAGGUAACUGCUCACCAAGGCGACGAUACAUAGCCGACCUGAGAGGGUGAUCGGCCACACUGGGACUGAGACACGGCCCAGACUCCUACGGGAGGCAGCAGUAGGGAAUCUUCGGCAAUGGACGGAAGUUUGACCGAGCAACGCCGCGUGAGUGAAGAAGGUUUUCGGAUCGUAAAGCUCUGUUGUAAGAGAAGAACGAGU
rnacentral:rRNA from 1 species